rnacentral:rRNA from 1 species
AGAGUUUGAUCCUGGCUCAGGAUGAACGCUAGCUACAGGCUUAACACAUGCAAGUCGAGGGGCAGCAUGGUCUUAGCUUGCUAAGGCCGAUGGCGACCGGCGCACGGGUGAGUAACGCGUAUCCAACCUGCCUUACACUCUUGGACAGCCUUCUGAAAGGGAGAUUAAUACAAGAUGUUAUCAUGAGUAAGCAUUUUCGCAUGAUUAAAGGUUUACCGGUGUAAGAUGGGGAUGCGUUCCAUUAGAUAGUAGGCGGGGUAACGGCCCACCUAGUCUUCGAUGGAUAGGGGUUCUGAGAGGAAGGUCCCCCACAUUGGAACUGAGACACGGUCCAAACUCCUACGGGAGGCAGCAGUGAGGAAUAUUGGUCAAUGGGCGAGAGCCUGAACCAGCCAAGUAGCGUGAAGGAUGACUGCCCUAUGGGUUGUAAACUUCUUUUAUAAAGGAAUAAAGUCGGGUAUGGAUACCCGUUUGCAUGUACUUUAUGAAUAAGGAUCGGCUAACUCCGUGCCAGCAGCCGCGGUAAUACGGAGGAUCCGAGCGUUAUCCGGAUUUAUUGGGUUUAAAGGGAGCGUAGAUGGAUGUUUAAGUCAGUUGUGAAAGUUUGCGGCUCAACCGUAAAAUUGCAGUUGAUACUGGAUAUCUUGAGUGCAGUUGAGGCAGGCGGAAUUCGUGGUGUAGCGGUGAAAUGCUUAGAUAUCACGAAGAACUCCGAUUGCGAAGGCAGCUUACUAACCUGUAACUGACAUUGAUGCUCGAAAGUGUGGGUAUCAAACAGGAUUAGAUACCCUGGUAGUCCACACGGUAAACGAUGAAUACUCGCUGUAGGCGAUAUACAGUCUGCGGCCAAGCGAAAGCAUUAAGUAUUCCACCUGGGGAGUACGCCGGCAACGGUGAAACUCAAAGGAAU